rnacentral:rRNA from 1 species
AUUGAACGCUGGCGGCAUGCCUUACACAUGCAGGUCGAACGGUAACGCGGGGCAACCUGGCGACGAGUGGCGAACGGGUGAGUAAUGCAUCGGAACGUGCCCGGUAGUGGGGGAUAACUGCUCGAAAGAGCAGCUAAUACCGCAUACGACCUGAGGGUGAAAGGGGGGGAUCGCAAGACCUCUCGCUAUCGGAGCGGCCGAUGUCGGAUUAGCUAGUUGGGGGGGUAAAAGCCCACCAAGGCAACGAUCCGUAGCUGGUCUGAGAGGACGACCAGCCAAACUGGGACUGAGACACGGCCCAGACUCCUACGGGAGGCAGCAGUGGGGAAUUUUGGACAAUGGACGCAAGUCUGAUCCAGCCAUGCCGCGUGCGGGAAGAAGGCCUUCGGGUUGUAAACCGCUUUUGUCAGGGAAGAAAUCUUCUGAGUUAAUACCUCGGGAGGAUGACGGUACCUGAAGAAUAAGCACCGGCUAACUACGUGCCAGCAGCCGCAGUAACAC